rnacentral:rRNA from 1 species
GAUGAACGCUGGCGGCGUGCCUAAUACAUGCAAGUCGAGCGAACGGACGAGAAGCUUGCUUUUCUGAUGUUAGCGGCGGACGGGUGAGUAACACGUGGAUAACCUACCUAUAAGACUGGGAUAACUUCGGGAAACCGGAGCUAAUACCGGAUAAUAUUUUGAACCGCAUGGUUCAAAAGUGAAAGACGGUUUUGCUUUCACUUAUAGAUGGAUCCGCGCUGCAUUAGCUAGUUGGUAAGGUAACGGCUUACCAAGGCAACGAUGCAUAGCCGACCUGAGAGGGUGAUCGGCCACACUGGAACUGAGACACGGUCCAGACUCCUACGGGAGGCAGCAGUAGGGAAUCUUCCGCAAUGGGCGAAAGCCUGACGGAGCAACGCCGCGUGAGUGAUGAAGGUCUUCGGAUCGUAAAACUCUGUUAUUAGGGAAGAACAUAUGUGUAAGUAACUGUGCACAUCUUGACGGUACCUAAUCAGAAAGCCACGGCUAACUACGUG